GACGCGAUGGCCUAAUGGUUAGCGCGUUGGACUCCGUAUUGAGCGGUCUAGGUUCGAGCGCUCGCCAGCGUCA